AAAUUACGAACACCUAAAAAUUUAAUUAAACUUCAUUUUAUAUUACAAAGUUUAUUGAAGCCAUAUCAAUAGCACAAUUCUUCAAACACAUGUCAACCAUUUAAACUUCAAUAAUCAACAAUAAAAUAAAAUAAAAAAGACCAAUUACAAGCAAAUCGAAAGCUGUUAGAACAAUACUCAACCUUAAUAGUACUAAUUAGUUAUUAGCAUAUCCAAUAGACAUGAAAUCAUCAAUGCAUUCACCCUAACAUCAUCUUCAGUGGCCUCCAUCUCCCUCCCUCCAUCCCCACCCUUCAACUUUUAUCAUUAUAGAUCUCAACCCCGACAAACUCCAGUCACCUCCAUAUCAACUUCCACUGCAUAACCUUUAAACCCACUCGUUGUCUCUCCAUUCAUGCAUCCAAAUGACUCGAGAACCGACAACAACAUAAAUAAUGACAACACUGUCUGUAUCAUUUUCGCUCGUGCCCUAGAGCCACUGCUCAUGCCGCCACAUGCAGUGCUCUGAAGUCAUUAAAAAUUAAACAUAUGAUUCUCAAAUCAACAAAUCACGGGUGAAAAUGGAGAAUAACCCCAAAAAGAAGGAUUCUUUUUUUUUUUUCUUUCAAAUCAUUUGGGAUACAAAGAAAAGCACGUAAUUGAAACUGACUUACCGUACAGAAGAAAAACCGGAGUCACAAUGGGAAUCCAAAAGGAUUAAAAUUAAAAGCGGAGACUUUGCUUUUGGAUCAGGGAGGAGGGUUUGUGAUUAAUAAUCAAUUGAUGGGUUUGUGAUUUUUGGAGGAGGGUUUUUAGAUAAACUAG
rnacentral:lncRNA from 1 species